rnacentral:rRNA from 1 species
GACCUCGGAUCAGGUAGGAUUCCCGCUCGGG